AACGCUAGCUACAGGCUUAACACAUGCAAGUCGGGGGGCAUCAGGAACAUAGCUUGCUAUGUUUGCUGGCGACCGGCGCACGGGUGCGUAACACGUAUCCAAUCUGCCCGUUACUCGGGGAUAGCCUUUCGAAAGAAAGAUUAAUACCCGAUGGUAUUAUGAUGAGGCAUCUCAUUAUAAUUAAAGAUUUAUCGGUAACGGAUGAGGAUGCGUAUGAUUAGUUAGUUGGCGGGGUAACGGCCCACCAAGACGACGAUGCGUAGGGGUUCUGAGAGGAAGGUCCCCCACACUGGUACUGAGACACGGACCAGACUCCUACGGGAGGCAGCAGUGAGGAAUAUUGGUCAAUGGGCGAGAGCCUGAACCAGCCAAGUCGCGUGAGGGAAGACGGUUCUAUGGAUUGUAAACCUCUUUUGUCAGGGAGCACUAAGCCACGUGUGGUGUAAAGAGAGUACCUGAAGAAAAAGCAUCGGCUAGCUCCGUGCCAGCAGCCGCGGUAAUACGGAGGAUGCGAGCGUUAUCCGGAUUUAUUGGGUUUAAAGGGAGCGUAGACGGGGGAUUAAGUCAGUUGUGAAAGGCUGCGGCUCAACCGCAGCACUGCAGUUGAUACUGGUUUCCUUGAGUUCGGUUGAGGUGUAUGGAAUUCGUGGUGUAGCGGUGAAAUGCUUAGAUAUCACGAAGAACUCCGAUUGCGAAGGCAGUACACUAAGCCGAUACUGACGUUGAGGCUCGAAAGUGUGGGUAUCAAACAGGAUUAGAUACCCUGGUAGUCCACACGGUAAACGAUGAAUACUCGCUGCUGGCGAUAUACGGUCAGCGGCCAAGCGAAAGCAUUAAGUAUUCCACCUGGGGAGUACGCCGGCAACGGUGAAACUCAAAGGAAUUGACGGGGGCCCGCACAAGCGGAGGAACAUGUGGUUUAAUUCGAUGAUACGCGAGGAACCUUACCCGGGCUUAAAUUGCACUGGACAGGCUCAGAGAUGGGCCCUUCUUCGGACCAGUGUGAAGGUGCUGCAUGGUUGUCGUCAGCUCGUGCCGUGAGGUGUCGGCUUAAGUGC
rnacentral:rRNA from 1 species